AGCGAACGCUGGCGGCAGGCCUAACACAUGCAAGUCGAACGAAGCCUUCGGGCUUAGUGGCGGACGGGUGAGUAACACGUGGGAACGUACCUUUUGGUUCGGACUAACGCAGAGAAAUUUGCGCUAAUACCGACUGAGCCCUUCGGGGGAAAGAUUUAUCGCCGAAAGAUAGGCCCGCGUUGGAUUAGGUAGUUGGUGUGGUAAAGGCGCACCAAGCCUACGAUCCAUAGCUGGUCUGAGAGGAUGAUCAGCCACACUGGGACUGAGACACGGCCCAGACUCCUACGGGAGGCAGCAGUGGGGAAUCUUGCGCAAUGGGCGAAAGCCUGACGCAGCCAUGCCGCGUGAAUGAUGAAGGUCUUAGGAUUGUAAAAUUCUUUUACCAGGGACGAUAAUGACGGUACCUGGAGAAAAAGCCCCGGCUAACUACGUGCCAGCAGCCGCAGUAAAAC
rnacentral:rRNA from 1 species